rnacentral:rRNA from 1 species
GAUGAACGCUGGCGGCGUGCCUAAUACAUGCAAGUCGAGCGAACGGACGAGAAGCUUGCUUCUCUGAUGUUAGCGGCGGACGGGUGAGUAACACGUGGAUAACCUACCUAUAAGACUGGGAUAACUUCGGGAAACCGGAGCUAAUACCGGAUAAUAUUUUGAACCGCAUGGUUCAAAAGUGAAAGACGGUCUUGCUGUCACUUAUAGAUGGAUCCGCGCUGCAUUAGCUAGUUGGUAAGGUAACGGCUUACCAAGGCAACGAUGCAUAGCCGACCUGAGAGGGUGAUCGGCCACACUGGAACUGAGACACGGUCCAGACUCCUACGGGAGGCAGCAGUAGGGAAUCUUCCGCAGUGGGCGAAAGCCUGACGGAGCAACGCCGCGUGAGUGAUGAAGGUCUUCGGAUCGUAAAACUCUGUUAUUAGGGAAGAACAUACGUGUAAGUAACUGUGCACAUCUUGACGGUACCUAAUCAGAAAGCCACGGCUAACUACGUG